UGAGCAAUCUGCCCUUCAGAUCGGAAUAACCAUUGGAAACGAUGGCUAAUACCGAAUAUGACUUCGGAUCGCAUGAUCUGAAGUGGAAAGCUCCGGCGGUGAAGGAUGAGCUCGCGGCCUAUCAGCUUGUUGGUGAGGUAAUAGCUCACCAAGGCGAUGACGGGUAGCUGGCCUGAGAGGGUGACCGGCCACACGUGGGACUGAGACAGGCCCAG
rnacentral:rRNA from 1 species